GUAUAGGGGCUGACGCCUGCCCGGUGCUGGAAGGUUAAGAGGAGCGCUUAGCGUAAGCGAAGGUGCGAAUUGAAGCCCCAGUAAACGGCGGCCGUAACUAUAACGGUCCUAAGGUAGCGAAAUUCCUUGUCGGGUAAGUUCCGACCCGCACGAAAGGCGCAACGAUCUGGGCACUGUCUCAACGAGAGACUCGGUGAAAUUAUAGUACCUGUGAAGAUGCAGGUUACCCGCGACAGGACGGAAAGACCCCGUGGAGCUUUACUGCAGCCUGAUAUUGAAUGUUGGUACAGCUUGUACAGGAUAGGUAGGAGCCUUGGAAACCGGAGCGCCAGCUUCGGUGGAGGCAUCGGUGGGAUACUACCCUGGCUGUAUUGACCUUCUAACCCGCCGCCCUUAUCGGGCGGGGAGACAGUGUCAGGUGGGCAGUUU
rnacentral:rRNA from 1 species